rnacentral:rRNA from 1 species
AACGCAGGUGGUUUGGUAAGUCAGGGGUGAAAGUCCACAGCUUAACUGUGGCACUGCCUUUGAUACUACCUUUCUUGAGUGCAUGAGGGGGAAGCGGAAUUCCGAGUGUAGAGGUGAAAUUCGUAGAUAUUCGGAGGAACACCGGUGGCGAAGGCGGCUUCCUGGCAUGUAACUGACACUCAUGUUCGAAAGCGUGGGGAGCAAACAGGAUUAGAUACCCUGGUAGUCCACGCCCUAGACGAUGGGCACUAGGUGUGGGAGGUAUCGACCCCUUCCGUGCCGCAGCUAACGCAUUAAGUGCCCCGCCUGGGGAGUACGGCCGCAAGGUUGAA